CCAGACCGAUAGCGAACAAGUAGAGUGAUCGAAAGAUGAAAAGCACUUUGGAAAGAGAGUCAAACAGCACGUGAAAUUGUUGAAAGGGAAGCGCUUGCAGCCAGACUUGCUUACAGUUGCUCAUCCGGGUUUUUACCCGGUGCACUCUUCUGUAGGCAGGCCAGCAUCAGUUUGGGCGGUAGGAUAAAGGUCUCUGUCACGUACCUCCUUUCGGGGAGGCCUUAUAGGGGAGACGACAUACUACCAGCCUGGACUGAGCUCCGCGC
rnacentral:rRNA from 1 species